GGGAAGGCCGGCGGCUGGGUACCGACGGCGGCUGCAGGGGGAAGAGACCCCCUGGCGGCUGCGCAGGGGAGAGGAGGCCCCUGGCGGCUGGCAGGAAACAGAGAGCUAACCUAGACUGAAGAUACCAUGUUAGAAUAGGAACCCAUACCCUAAUCAGGGGUUGGGAGUGAUAUUAAAUAGAGAGAGUAACUGGGCCAAAGCCCAUUACACAGAGGGGGCUAAAUGACCCAGCUAAAAGGGCAAGUGUGAAACAUACGAUUCUCUCUUCUGGGGCAACUAUUGUAUGUCUCCAAGAGACAAAGAUAAUGAGUUGGAAUAAUAAUUUACUAAAGGAAACAUUGGGAUGCAAGUUAGCAGCUCAGACAGUUCAUUUACCAUCUCUUGGAGCCUCAGGUGGGAUUCUAAUUGCAUGCGAUGCAGACUUUUUUGACAUAACUGUUAUUCCCUAUCCAUCAGUAUAUUCGUUAUUCGUCAGUAUCAGCUCUCGUCUGAGCGACGUGGGGUGGGACCUCACUGGAGUUUAUGGCCCUCAACCUGAAAGUGAGAAAAUGAAUUUUCUGGCAGAGUUGCGUCAUAUUCGUAGUCUGAUGAAGCCAGAAUGGCUGGUUUUAGGUGAUUUUAACAUGAUAAGGAGAGCAAGGGAGAAAAACAAAGGAUUAAUUAAUAGAAGAGUGAUGAGACAGUUCAACCACACAAUCGAUUACCUUCAGCUUUUAGAACUUGAUCUCAAUGGUAAAUUAUACACAUGGUCAAAUGAACAGGAUGACCCUACGAUGUCUAGGAUUGACAGAUUCUUGGCGACUACGGAGUGGCAUGAUAUCUUCCCCCAGGCUGAUCUGCAGGCCAUUGGGUCCAUGACCUCAGAUCAUUGCCCCUUAGUUAUGCAAGGUUUAUCUACCUUUAGUUUCUAUAGGGGGUUUAGAUUUGAAGCUUUUUGGACAAAAAUUGAUGGGUUCAAUGAGGUGGUUCAGCAAGCUUGGACAUCUAGUGUUCGUUCUUCCGAUGCCAUUCUUAGGCUGCAUGUGAAGAUGAUCCGCACAGCUAAAGCUCUAUUGAUCUGGAGACGAAAGACAGUAGGCAAUUUUAAAGUUCAAUUAGCAAUCAUUCAGACCGUCCUUACCCUUCUUGAGAGAGCACAGGAAUCCAGGCAACUCUCCGGGGACGAGCUAGAGUUCAGGAGAAGUCUAAAAAUGAAAAUCCUUGGGCUAGUGACAGUCCAAAAGGCAAGAGCUAGACAACAUUCCAGACUUGUAUGGAUGCGUCUGGGAGAUGCAAACACAAAUUUUUUUCACCUGAUGGCAAAUAAUAGAAGAAGGAAAAAUUUCAUCAGAUCGCUGGUUCGUGACGACAGGUUACUCACCAGUCAGGAAGAUAAACUGCAUGAGGCCCACCAUCAUUUCACUGAAGCUAUUGGUAGAAGGGGUGAGAGACAGAGGGCCGUUCGGUGGGGUAACCUAGGCUAUAGUCCAUUUGACUUAUCAGAUCUGGAUUUCUUGUUCAAUGAGGAUGAGAUUAAAAAUGUGGUUAUGGGGAUGCACUCUGAAAAGGCGCCGGGUCCAGAUUGUUUUAUCGGGAUCUUCUAUAAGAGUUGUUUUGAGCUGAUUAAAGAUGAUCUAUCAAGUGCGAUUCAUGAUUUCUAUCACCAUAGAUGCAAAAACCUAAACCUCGUUAACGAGGCAAAUAUCGCGCUUUUACAAAAGAGGGAGGGUGCUGACAGGAUUGACAUGUUUAGGCCGAUCAGUCUCAUCAAUAGCUUCAUGAAAAUAUUGACCAAGAUUUUAGCAAACAGACUUGCACCAAGAAUGAAUGAGAUUGUCUCCACUGCCCAAAAUGCGUUCAUUCAGAAACGUUCAAUUCAUGAUAAUUUUCUCUACGUCCAAAAAGUUAUUCAGAAACUUAAUAGGAACAAUCAGCCAGCCCUUUUUGUCAAACCUGACAUAUCAAAAGCUUUUGAUUCCAUCAACUGGGCAUAUCUGUUAGAGGUUCUGAGAGCUCUAGGUUUUUCCCAGAAAUGGAGGAAUUGGAUCGCAACAAUAUUAGGGUCUUCCUCUUCAAAAAUCAUCAUCAACGGUCAACAAACAAAUGCAAUUAGGCACAUGCGUGGCGUUCGUCAGGGUGACCCGCUAUCCCCGUUCCUGUUUAUUCUAGCAAUGGACCCUCUGAAGAGGAUGAUUGAGAUGGCGGCAGAUGCUGGGCUCUUGGGGCGGGUUCUGCCAAAUAAGGCUAAACUGCGCUGUUCUCUUUAUGCAGAUGACGCAGGUGUGUUCGUUAGAGCAGAUAAAGAGGAUUUGAAGGUUUUGAAAAGGAUUCUGGAAGUUUUUGAAGGAUGUUCAGGGCUGAAGAUCAAUUUCAAUAAAACCGAAAUUUUCCCGAUUCGUUACCCCCAAACUCUUUGGCCAGAUCUGAUGGAGGUGUUCCCUGGUAAAUACUCUAAAUUUCCAGGGAAGUAUCUUGGUCUACCUCUACAUUUCAGGAACGUUAGGAGAAUUGAUGUUCAACCACUAAUUGAUAAAAUUAAUAAAAGGCUAGCAGGAUGGAAAGACAGGCUACUCUCAAAGGCAGGUAGGGAAACCUUGGUUAAAGCGGUGUUGUCUGCUCAGCCUAUCUAUCAUCUGACGGUCUUUCCGGCGCAGAAAUGGUUACUUAAAAGAAUUGACAAGUUAAGAAGAAGCUUUCUUUGGAAAGGGAAUAGUCCAGAAUUUUGCAAUGGAGGUCAUUGCUUGAUUAACUGGCCCACAACUUGCCUACCAAAGAAUAAGGGGGGUCUGGGAGUUCUAGACGUGGAGCGUUUUGCAAGAGCGCUAAGGCUAAGAUGGUUGUGGCUAAGGUGGAAGUUUAAAGAAAAAGCAUGGGCUGGCAUGCAUUUACCAUGUGACAAGGCGGAUGUAGAUCUCUUUAACACAUCAACAAUUGUGACUAUUGGUAACGGGAGGAUGGCAGAUUUCUGGGGAUCUAGUUGGAUUGAAGGACAGACACCAAAGAAUAUUGCACCUAAGCUAUACAAGAAAGCAAGAAGAAAGAACAUCUCGGUUUUCAAGGCUCUUCGAAACAAUUACUGGAUGCAGUUCUGCGCGCCUUUCACUCGGGAGGAGGAAGUUAGAGAAUUCGUCUUACUUUGGUUAUCAAUCAACAACACACAUGGCCUCAAUGAUCUUGAAGACACCAUUUCUUGGAGAUGGUCUGCAGAUGGGGAAUACAGUUCAAGUAGCGCAUACAAAAUUCAAUUCACAACGAACUUCUGUAAAAUUCACAUCAACCCCAUUUGGAAAGCAAAAACUGAACCAAAAUGUCGUUUCUUUGCUUGGACAUUGUUGCACAACAAAAUUUUAACUUCAGACAAUCUGCAAAAACGGGGAUGGCCUUGCAAUCAAAAUUGUUCUUUUUGUAAUGUAGCUCCGGAGACAGCGGCACACCUAUGUAAAGAUUGUCCCUUCGCCGAGGAAGUGUGGAGCAUGAUCUUGACUUGGGCUGAUUUGCGAUUCCUGGACGGUAUUUCUAAGACUGGAUCUCUGCACACGUGGUGGUUUAGACUGAGGAUGCUCUGUAGCAAGCAAUCAAGAAAAAGCUUCGAUGGCCUUCUAAUUUAUUUCUGGUGGAGCUUAUGGUUGGAAAGAAACAACAGAAUCUUUAAGGGUCAGCAGAGAACGACAGAGCAAGUGGCGCAGGUGGUGAAAGAGCUCGUUGGUGGAGUUUUAACUUGUCUGUAGCGGUUGGGGGCCUGGUCAGGGGAGUUUGGGUCUUUAUCUCUAAAUGUCAGUGUUCUAACUAGGUCAAGUUUGUUAAGUUGUUUGGGUUGUGUCAGUUUGUAAAGUUUAUUAUCUCUUCUAAUAUAUUGGAUUGGCAAAUCUUUUGCCUUUCCCUUUCAAAAAAAAAAGACUCUUGGGGUUGGCUCUCCGAGGGAUUUGCUACACCUCUAUAACAAGACACAAGAGCCUGAUUUUUCGCCUUUGUACUAGAGGAUUCCAAUAACAUUUUUACAUGCCUUGCGGGAGUACGCCCUUGGACUUUUGCUGAUGGAAUCUGCGACCGAAAACUUAUGGUCUUAUUUCCAUGAUAUGCAUCGAUUUUUCUCGGAUUAUCUCUUUUUUUUCCCCCUUGUAUGGAGCCAUGGGAAGUAUCAGGAUGUGUUAUCUGGAGCAUCAAAGCACUGAUGGAGUGAACUGAGAAUGGUAUUUAUGGGCGUGUUUGCGACGGUGGCCUAGCAGCCCGGCUGCGCUCCUGGGCUGCAACUGGGCGUGUUUGCGUGUCUGACCCGUUUAAGAGCACAGUCGUGUGUGUGCAAAAGUGACAACAACGCCUGGAUCCCUGGAAACGGUGCUGGGGUUCGUUUUUUCGGGGCUCGGCUGCCCGCGGUGCAAGGUAGGAAAAUUUGAUGUGAUGGCAGGUGACUGAGGGGUGGCAAACAACAUCUAGUCUUAGCCAGGCUUAUUUUGUACAUGGACGCAAACAUGGUGAGUUGCAGCGGCAAAAGCAGGUCAGGCUUGAUCAUGUUGGGCGGGCCGAGCGGUACAGAAUCACAAACACGCCCUACCUGUCCGUGCACAAAAUGCGGUUCAAGCGCUGCGAUCUAAAUUAUAGUUAAGUCUUUUUUUGGUUGUUGUUGUUGUUGUUCAUCUUUGUGCUCUUAACAAGCAGGGGUCAACUGAAAUGCUUGAUCGCAGAUUACCAGAUAUUUAUAACAUAUGUAACGAUAUAUAAGCAUGCAAACUCUACUUGGGAUGGUUUGAUUUGCCUGGC